rnacentral:rRNA from 1 species
UACGUAGGGUGCAAGCGUUAAUCGGAAUUACUGGGCGUAAAGCGUGCGCAGGCGGUUGUGCAAGACAGAUGUGAAAUCCCCGGGCUUAACCUGGGAAUUGCAUUUGUGACUGCAUGGCUAGAGUGUGUCAGAGGGGGGUAGAAUUCCACGUGUAGCAGUGAAAUGCGUAGAGAUGUGGAGGAAUACCGAUGGCGAAGGCAGCCCCCUGGGAUAACACUGACGCUCAUGCACGAAAGCGUGGGGAGCAAACAGG